rnacentral:rRNA from 1 species
UACAGAGGUCUCAACCGUUGUUCGGAUUCAUUGGGCGUAAAGGGUGCGUAGGCGGUCGUGCAAGUCGGAUGUGAAAUCUCAGGGCUCAACCCUGAAACUGCAUUCGAUACUGCGCGGCUAGAGUGCUGGAGGGGAGACUGGAAUUUACGGUGUAGCAGUGAAAUGCGUAGAUAUCGUAAGGAAGACCAGUGGCGAAGGCGAGUCUCUGGACAUGCAACUGACGCUGAGCACGAAAGCCAGGGGAGCAAACGGG